rnacentral:tRNA from 1 species
ACUAUUUUGGCAGAUUAGUGCAUUAAAUUUAGAAUUUAAUUAAAUGAUUAAUUAUCAUAUAUAGUA